GCCAGCGUGGCGUAGUGGCUUGAGUGUUGGACUACAACUCUGGAGAACAGGGUUGGAUUCCCAGCUUGGCC
rnacentral:tRNA from 1 species